GAAGAUUCUAGAGAAGACAAAAUAACCCAAAGAAAAGAAGUAUGGAAGGCAGGGGUAGCAAGGCGGAGCUGUGCCCUGUCACGGCACACAGAGAAUGCCCAUGGAUUUUCACAAAUGCUGUUAAAAUGUGAAAAGAAGGUGUUUCUUUUUUCUUCAAUCUGAGCUUCAAGCUAAUAUGGGCAUUCAGCUAAAUCCCUCCUGGGUCCUGAAACAGUAUGUGGUUUUGGAUUUCAAAGAUAAUCCCUACAACUUCUGGGAGAGGUGCAAGUAUCAACCAGUUGGAGACACAGGGAAAGGGUGAUAUAAUGCAGAAAGUGACUUGAACAAAUUUACACAGAAGGCAGUGAAGUGUGAUUCAAAUUCAAGCAGUCUAGACUGUGCCCCACACAACUCUGCAGCAUAACCUUGCAGUAUGAAAAUAAUGCCUCUCAUGCAGAUCAGGGAUAUGAGAUCCAGUGACUUACCCAAAGUUUCAAAGGAAAGAUGUAACAGAGCCAUCUCUGAACUUCUGCUCUUGGGAAUCUACACACUCUUUCCACUAGUUCUGACCUUAGCAGGUGUUUGACCCAGGACUUGCCCAACUUGGUUUCCAUUUGUAUAGAACUAAUGCCAAAUUUCAAAAGAAAAUAUUACAUACCAUAAUCAAUAAAAACAAAAUAUCAAACAU
rnacentral:lncRNA from 1 species